UAUAUUCUAUCAAUAGACGAGAUAUCGGCACCGAUAAUCAACAAAAAGAUUGCCACGAGCUAUCGCUAAUCUGGAUAUGACGAAGUAGCUAAACGAUGAAUCGAGAGAGUAGCAUGAGUCGGUUACGACAAAAAUUUUUGGAAGCACGGUAAGCGAAAAGGGGGAGUGGAGUGUGAAAGUCAUGCGUCGGAUUGUAUAAAAGCGCGAGCGGCAGAAGAUACAACUCAAUCGUAACAGGCGCAACAUAGAUUGACCGUAGUUCUUCAAAUCUCAACGUUAUUUCGACGACUUUAAUCGCCAUGACUCGUGUAGCAGUUCUUCUCUUACUCGUCGUAGCUAUUGUGUACAGCAGCGCAUAUCCUCAGGCGUCAGAGGCUAAUCAAGAAUGUGGUCCAAACGAGGAAUUCAAUUCUUGUGGAUCCGCGUGUGUAGACACCUGUGAGAAAUCAGCAUCACCUAUCUGCACUAUGAAUUGUGUAAUCGGUUGCCAGUGUAAACAAGGUUUCGUAAGGAACAAGGAGAACAAGUGUGUGCUCACUCGCAAUUGUUAAAUUUUAACGAAAUACAAUCGCCAAUCGAUUUUUCUGGUUGAAAGAAACGCUCGCAAUAAUUAUGCACGGUAGAAUGCUUCCUGCGUAAUUUGUUGUAUCAUUACUUAUUGUUAGUGGUAGCCACUGAUAACUACAAUUAUUGUACUGCUUACUUUUGUUAAGCUUUGUUACAUUUCCAAUGAAAUAUACAUAAAGAUAUUUACUUCUUCUUCUUCUUCUUUAUUAAUCCCAUAUUUUCCUUUUUAACACGAAUGGAGUUCCAACGAUAAAUUUUUAUACUCGAAAAUAUAAAUCAACUAAACAGUGCAAACAAUGAAUGAAAAGAAUUUUCAAGAAGGAAUAUUGUGUUUAUUAUAUUAGAUAAAAUGGUAACUACAAACAUUCAAGUCAUAUUUAGAUUGAAAAAAGCAAAUUCAUUAAUAGUAUUUAAUUAAUUAAAAUUUGAACCUGAACUUUUCAUAUUACUGAGGAUAAUUAACGCACCAUGAACAAAUAUAUUUUUUUAUAUUACGUAGAUUAACUGAAUUGUUUAUGCACGAACCCAAUUCUUUGACUAUUCUACGUCUCUUAAAAAAAUCUGGAAUAUUUCUGAGAUACUUAUCAAUGUUGUUAUUAACGCUUCCUUACGCUCCCUCUAUACGUUAUACGGAGAAUAUGUUACUAAGAAUAUGUUAAACAAAACUAAUUAAGCUAUAAAGGGUUAAAAAUAGCGAAAAAUCACAUAACUUUCGGCCUAAAAACUACAUCUCUUAGUCAACGAAAUCUAUCGUCUGUUUCCGCAUCAACGUUAUGAUAGACAUGUUCACGAUGUACUGUUUAAAUUGUCUUUACAAGCCCAAAUAAAAAUCGAAAAGUGCCACCUUUACUUCUUUCUUCGCGGUUCCAAAUGCAAUUAUUUUUUAAUUUUUUCAUGAAUCAUCUAGUAAACUAAUGUUCUUGAUUUCUUAAA
rnacentral:misc_RNA from 1 species